AAUGAACGCUGGCGGCGUGGAUUAGGCAUGCAAGUCGAGCGCCCCGCAAGGGGAGCGGCAGACGGGUGAGUAACGCGUGGGAACGUACCCUUCGGUUCGGAAUAACUCAGGGAAACUUGAGCUAAUACCGGAUACGUCCGAGAGGAGAAAGAUUUAUCGCCGAAGGAUCGGCCCGCGUUGGAUUAGCUAGUUGGUGGGGUAAUGGCCUACCAAGGCGACGAUCCAUAGCUGGUCUGAGAGGAUGAUCAGCCACACUGGGACUGAGACACGGCCCAGACUCCUACGGGAGGCAGCAGUGGGGAAUAUUGGACAAUGGGCGAAAGCCUGAUCCAGCCAUGCCGCGUGAGUGAUGAAGGCCCUAGGGUUGUAAAGCUCUUUCAGUGGGGAAGAUAAUGACGGUACCCACAGAAGAAGCCCCGGCUAACUUCGUG
rnacentral:rRNA from 1 species